CAGCAGCCACGGUAAUACGUAGGUGGCAAGCGUUGUCCGGAAUUACUGGGUGUAAAGCGCACGUAGGCGGCUUUGUAAGUUAGAGGUGAAAGCCUGGGGCUCAACCCCAGAAUUGCCUUUAAGACUGCAGAGCUAGUAGGUGAGAGAGGUGAGUGGAACUCCGAGUGUAGAGGUGAAAUUCGUAGAUAUUCGGAAGAACACCAGUGGCGAAGGCGGCUUACUGGCUCAUUCUAGACGCUGAGGUGCGAAAGCGUGGGGAGCAAACAGGAUUAGAUACCCCGGUAGUCCCUGUCUCUUAUAC
rnacentral:rRNA from 1 species